rnacentral:rRNA from 1 species
AUUGAACGCUGGCGGCAGGCCUAACACAUGCAAGUCGAACGAGUGGCGGACGGGUGAGUAAUGUCUGGGAAACUGCCUGCUGGAGGGGGAUAACUACUGGAAACGGUAGCUAAUACCGCACACCAUCCGAUGUGCCCAGAUGGGAUUAGCUAGUGGGUGGGGUAACUGCUCACCUGGGCGACGAUCCCUAGCUGGUCUGAGAGGAGGACCAGCCACACUGGAACUGAGACACGGCCCAGACUCCUACGGGAGGCAGCAGUGGGGAAUAUUGGACAAUGGGCGAAAGCCUGAUGCAGCCAUGCCGCGUGUAUGAAGAAGGCCUUCGGGUUGUAAAGUACUUUCAGCGGGGAGGCGUUACCCGCAGAAGAAGCACCGGCUAACUCCGUGCCAGCAGCCGCGGUAAUUC